CUUUGGCAUGCAUUGGAACCAUGUGAAUGUUGUCAAGAGCAUGUCACAGGGUAGGAAGUUACACUCAAGGAACUUCUCACAGUGGCACCAAGAGCUGCAGCUCUAGGAACCAGGAAGCCUGCCUGUGAAAGACAUGCACAUCAGGAAGCAGCACCACUUUUGCCUUCUCUGUAGUCAACACAAGCAAAUGAUCAGCUACAAAAGGGCUUGAAGCCAAGAUUUGAUAUGAACUUUUUCAUGGUCAUGCAAGAUAUGACUACAGAUCUAUGGAG